UGUGGCCGGGAGAGGCGGCGGUGCCCGGACUGUUGCUGUCAAAGUUGACCUGGAAAGGCACGUCAGAGAGGGUGAGAGCCCCGUGCGUGACACCGACGGGAAGGGCCGCUACCGUCUUCGGAGAGUCGGGUUGUUUGGGAAUGCAGCCCAAAGUGGGUGGUAAACUCCAUCUAAAGCUAAAUACCGGCACGAGACCGAUAGCGAACAAGUACCAUGAGGGAAAGGUGAAAAGUACUUUGAAAAGAGAGUCAAAAAGACCGCGAAACCGUUAGGAGGGAAACGAAUGCAGCUGAAGUGGUUCCUAUCAGGUUCAGGGGACGUCGGGAGACRCGUCGGCUGGUGGCAGCCCUAGGCGUCGUCGGACGGGACGAUCUCGCGACAACUCUGCACUCCUGYGAGGAGCCGGCCAACGGCAGUUGUCCCUAGCCCAGAAGGUCGGUCGGGAGGUGCCUCUGCACUCGUGCAGAGAACGUACAGCCGUCAGUCCGGAGGUCCGGGGACGACUGAGGAGAGUCGUGAAUUUUCACGCGUGCAGCGCAGGCCCUUGGGCCGGGUCGCCUCUGUCCGUUUGGGCCCCGCGGUGGGGACUGCCUUGCAGUGUCCGCCGACGGUCAGUCCGCUCGGUCGGGGGGGUCGGCCACGCCGUGCGCUCAAGUUGUUGGUGCUCGAAUGGCUGCAUCCGACCCGUCUUGAAACACGGACCAAGGAGUGCAACAUGCGUGCGAGUCUUGGGG
rnacentral:rRNA from 1 species